CCACACCUGAAGCCAACUCAGACAACUUCUGUGGAUUAGCUGUCAUAAUGGCUGGGUCAUCUGAGGCUGCUGUAGCCCUGCUGGCCACAGGACUGCUUUGCAUCUCUGCAGACUUGUGCAUUAUAAGGAACCAUACCUGUGAAACACAAGUAUUUUACAUGAAUGGUUGAAUCUGCAUUGUAAUUCAUAACACUGCUUGAGACUGGAACUAAGUCUUAUACAUAGCUUCCGAGGCUUCUACAAUCUCAUCCUUUUAAGGCAGCUACUAAAAGGGGCCAUAGACAGAAGUGCUCAUAAAAAGGUCUCAGAAGCCCCUGGUGGCACAGUGGGUUAAAUGCUUGUGCCAGGCAGGACUGAUGAUGAAGGACAACAAUCUAAAUAAGGAAAGAUGCCUAAGGAAAAGUGGUGCUGGGGAAUGAGUCCACCAGAUGCUGACUGCUCUUGUCUCCCUCAGAGCUGGGACAAUGGCCGUUAAGAUGAUCUUCAUCAAGGCAUCAUGGGCUUCUGUGAGCUGCCCCGAGUCCCCUCAGGGAGAUGGUGGUGAGCAAGGUGCAACAUAGCACAAUCUGUUUUGUUUGCCUCAAGGUGAUUCUCAUCGGUUUAUAGCCAAAAUAAAUUGACUGUGUCAGAAAAAUACACUUCGGCUUUAAUAACAGUUGUGCAAACAUUUUAUUCACUGAAUUGGGGGAAACGUGUAUCCAGUUUUAAAAAGGACCAUCCGUAGCAAUUUAAAUACCUUCGCUUUAUGACAUGUCUUCAAAAAUAAUUCAUUCAGAAUGCCUAUCCAUAUUUGCAUAUAAGCUGUUGUUUAUUAAUGUGAAUGGCUUGUUGAGUUUUUAUGGAAAAGAAUAGUGAGCAUAACCACAAAGAUCCAGAGGGCUAGAAGCUGAAGGGAAAAAAAUCCUGCCACAGAAAAUAGAAUUAUAUGUCCCUGUUGAAGGGAGCUCUAGUACAGGGCCGGGCUGUGGCACAGCUGGCUAGUAACCAGCUGCAAUAAAUCACUACUGACCGAGAGGUCAUGAGUUCGAAGCCCGGGUCGGGUUAAGCCCCCGACCAUUAAAUAGCCCGGCUUGCUGUUGACCUAUGCAGCCCCGAAAGACAGUUGCAUCUGUCAAGUAGGGAAAUUUAGGUACGCUUUAUGCGGGAGGCUAAUUUAACUAAUUUACAACAUCAUAAAAACUGCCAGCAAAACACGAGAAAAGGAAUGAGGAAGUACAGCCACUAGUGGACAGUGAAGCAACAGCUCCCCCUGUGGCCGGAAUCGUGAAGCUGGAAAAAAAUGUUAAAUGCCUCUGUGUCUGUCUAUAUAUGUUGUUUGUCUGUUGGCAUUGAAUGUUUGCCACAUAUGUGUUCAUUGUAAUCCGCCCUGAGUCCCCUUCUGGGUGAAAAGGGCUGUGGAACUCCCUCCCCAGUGACAUUCGGCAGGCCCCAUCCCUUUGGGGUUCAGAAAAAAACUGAAGACCUGGCUAUGUACGCAGGCAUUUGAAGAAUAAGCAUGUGUUGGCUUCGACGCAGUCUGAAUUAUGGCUCUUGUAUAAGGUCUGGUGGACGAAUGACAUAAGCACUUUGCAUUGUUUUAAACUUUGUAUAUUGUAUUUUUUAUGACUGUUUUAACUGUUUUAAUCGUUUUAGUUUAUUGUAUAUCAGUGUAACGGCAUCAAUUGCCACUUGUAAGCCGCCCUGAGUCCCCUCGGGUGAUAAGGGUGGGGUAUAAAUAAUUGAAAUAAAUAAAUAAUAAAUAAAUAAAUAUAAAUACUGUAAAUAAAUAAAUAAAUAGUACAUGGGUGUUCACUCCAUAAUACUUUGAUUAGCUUUUAAUAAAUAGCUGGACAGAUAGUAGAUCUGGAAUGGCCUGUUUAGUAGCACUCUAAUUCUUUUGCAGUUGAUAUGUAAACAUCUUGAGCUUGAGUAGAACAACUGCAGUAACAAAAUACUCUGUGAAAAGGAAGAACACCUGGGGCAGCUUGGUGUUGAUCUUGUUUGAGCUCUUGUUCUAAUAUUCAGGAAAAAAAAUCCUUGCUUCAGAAUUGCUUGAUUACAAAUUCUUGUUUUUUUCUUCCCUCUAGGAUGGGGAAAGAAGGGAGUGGAUCUUGUGCUUUCUGAAGCACAAAAUAGAUGUCACAAGUUCAAUUUUUUUCAUUCCUGUUGCAGUUGCCAGAAGAUGUAGUUCUUCUGCAACAAACUUAUGGGGCAAACUCUGGAAAUUACUCAGCUCACAGUUCUGCAUAAUGAGAAACAGUAACUCUAGAAGACCUAAGUCCAGUGUUUCGUCUAUUAUCAAGUUCUAAGUCCAUGUGCACAAUUUCCAUGUUAGUGCUGUGACUGCAUUAAGCCUUCUACUUAUUGUGCGGGUGUCUAUUGAGGAAGUGGCAAAAAGAAAGUGGUUAAAGUUAAAGCCCCUUUAACUCUGUGGUAGUGAGUUAAAUUUAAGUAGUCAAGCACAACUCAAAAAUAUAGGGUUUGGUAUUAUCCAUAAUUUCAGGAAUCCAUGGUGGGUCUUGGAAUGGAUCCGCUGUGGAUAAAGAAGUGUGUACCUUACUGUAUUUGUAAUAGGUUUUGUUGGAUUUAUUUAUAACAAGCAACAUCAUAAAAAGCAUCAUUUAGGUGCUAUUACUUAAAGGGCUCCUGGGGUCAUAUCAUAUAGGUGGAUAUCAUUUU